CCCUCAGCCUGAAUAGCACAAUGAUUACCACCACCGAUACCACAGGUAACGGGGCGGGCUGACGCAUACAGGAAACACAGAAAAAGCCCGCACCUAACCAGUGCGGGCUUUUUUUUG
rfam:Serratia symbiotica genome assembly, type strain CWBI-2.3T, contig: SYMBAF_Contig_1